rnacentral:snRNA from 1 species
GUGCUUCUUUGACAGCAUAUAUACUAAAAUUGGAAUAAUACAGAGAAAAUUAACAUGGUCCCUGCACAAGGAUGACAUGCAAAUUUAUGAAGUACUUCAUAUUUUU